rnacentral:rRNA from 1 species
CCUACGGGGGGCAGCAGUGGGGAAUAUUGGACAAUGGGCGAAAGCCUGAUCCAGCCAUGCCGCGUGUGUGAAGAAGGCCUUCGGGUUGUAAAGCACUUUCAGUGGGGAAGAAAGCCUUGGGGCUAAUACCCUCGAGGAAGGACAUCACCCACAGAAGAAGCACCGGCUAACUCCGUGCCAGCAGCCGCGGUAAUACGGAGGGUGCGAGCGUUAAUCGGAAUUACUGGGCGUAAAGCGCGCGUAGGCGGUCUGAUAAGCCGGUUGUGAAAGCCCCGGGCUCAACCUGGGAACGGCAUCCGGAACUGGCAGGCUAGAGUGCAGGAGAGGAAGGUAGAAUUCCCGGUGUAGCGGUGAAAUGCGUAGAGAUCGGGAGGAAUACCAGUGGCGAAGGCGGCCUUAUGGACUGACACUGACGCUGAGGUGCGAAAGCGUGGGUAGCAAACAGGAUUAGAUACCCCUGUAGUC